rnacentral:tRNA from 1 species
GUUUCUGUGGCGCAAUCGGUUAGCGCGUUCGGCUGUUAACCGAAAGGUUUAUGGUUCAAAUCCAUCCAGAAACG